CCUGUAUGUCCGUCAACAAGUUGGAUGAAUAAACAAAAUACAGUGCAUCCACACUGUGGAAUACUACUCGUCAGUAAAAAGGAACAAGCUACAGAUACACUCAGCAACACGGGCGAAUCUCAACCAAGUCCAUGAUGCUGACUGAGAGAAGCCAGAUUCCAUUUGCAUGAACUCUGGGAAAGACAAAGCUGAUCUACAGUGAAAGAAAACUGAUCUGUAGUUUCUUCGGGUGGGAGCGGGUGGGAGUCAGGGGCUGACUGUGGGGGGCGUGAAGGAACAUGGUGGGAUGAUACAGGAAUUCUAGCACUUGUCUGUAGUGCCAUACAACUGUCAAAAUGCAUCCAACUGUACACCUAAAAUGGGCCAAUUUUAUUGUUUAUCAAUUCAACCUCAAUAAAAAAAGGAAAAAAAAUCUCUAGUUCCCCAUCCUUCCCUGCUUCAUUUUUCUCCUUAGCAUUUUCACUCUGGCAAGUAUUGUCUGUGUCCCCUCUGGAAUGUCAGCUCCUCGAGGGCAGGGAUUUUUAUCUGUUUUGUUUUCUGUUGCAUCUUCAGUUCCUAGAAGAGUGUUUGGCACACAGUAGGUGCUCAAUGGAUAUUGAUGAAUGAAGGAAUGAAUUCAGUCCCUGCAGGCUGAUUCAUUGACAGGGAUGGCUGUUUUGGAGUGUCCAUACACCCACCUGGAGGCUGCAGAACAAAGGCGAGAUGGGAGGGCCUGUGAGACUGUGGGCAGUGGCAUCAUUCCAUCUGAGGCCGUGUCAUUGCUCAGGCAUUUGGACGACGCCAUUCCCGGGGCGGUGUCAUGCCCACCAACCACCUUGGCGGGUGGCCCAGCCCAGAACCUGAUGUGCGUUAGCUGGGAUUUCCUUUGGGUGCUGUGUGUGUGGAAACCCAAAUAUGACCGUAGAGGGUGGAGCCACAAAACCAAGCUGGGCAGAGCCCACAGUGUGGCAUGAGGUU
rnacentral:lncRNA from 1 species